UUACUACUCUCUCCGUUCCGAAUUACUUAUCGCACGUAUAAAUGUAUUUAGAUGUAUUUUAGUUCUAAAUACACCCAUUUCAGCGAUGAGUAAUUUGGAACGGAGGGAGUACUUA
rfam:Triticum aestivum genome assembly, contig: Triticum_aestivum_CS42_TGACv1_scaffold_222333_3B